rnacentral:rRNA from 1 species
GACGAACGCUGGCGGCGCGCCUAACACAUGCAAGUCGAACGAGCGAGCGAGAGCUUGCUUUCUUGAGCGAGUGGCGAACGGGUGAGUAACGCGUGAGGAACCUGCCUCAAAGAGGGGGACAACAGUUGGAAACGACUGCUAAUACCGCAUAAGCCCACGACCCGGCAUCGGGUUGAGGGAAAAGGAGCAAUCCGCUUUGAGAUGGCCUCGCGUCCGAUUAGCUAGUUGGUGAGGUAACGGCCCACCAAGGCGACGAUCGGUAGCCGGACUGAGAGGUUGAACGGCCACAGUGGGACUGAGACACGGCCCAGACUCCUACGGGAGGCAGCAGUGGGGAAUAUUGCACAAUGGGGGAAACCCUGAUGCAGCGACGCCGCGUGGAGGAAGAAGGUCUUCGGAUUGUAAACUCCUGUUGUUGAGGAAGAUAAUGACGGUACUCAACAAGGAAGUGACGGCUAACUACGUG